CUUCAGUGAUUAUUGGGUUUCAGGGUGGCCGCUGUUCGGCUACCGACCACGCAGCGGUCGGCCAUCUUGGAUCCUUUGUUAGCCCAGCGGUAUUUGGUCGUCGAGCGCCUGGAACUAAAAUCGGCUACUCGACGGCACGAAUACCACUGGACUUCCAGGCCGUUCGGGAGCACCGGUCCUUCGGUGGUUUGUUCCCCUAUAUCCAUUCGGUAUUUUAAGGUGAAUAUAAAGUAAUAUGUAUUUUCGUGCGGCGUUCGGUUAUUUAUGCUGGGAUCUGAGCGCCACUUUCACGAAAGGUGUGCUCAGACCCCA